rnacentral:rRNA from 1 species
UACGAAGGGGGCUAGCGUUGUUCGGAAUUACUGGGCGUAAAGGGCGCGUAGGCGGCCUCGUCCGUCCGGCGUGAAAUGCCUGGGCUCAACCUAGGAAUUGCGCUCGAUACAGCGAGGCUAGAGUGUGGGAGAGGUUGGUGGAAUUCCCAGUGUAGAGGUGAAAUUCGUAGAUAUUGGGAAGAACACCGGUGGCGAAGGCGGCCAACUGGACCACAACUGGCGCUGAGGCGCGAAAGCGUGGGGAGCAAACAGG